UACGUAGGGCGCAAGCGUUGUCCGGAAUUAUUGGGCGUAAAGAGCUCGUAGGCGGUUUGUCGCGUCUGCUGUGAAAACCUGAGGCUCAACCUCGGGCUUGCAGUGGGUACGGGCAGACUAGAGUGCGGUAGGGGUGACUGGAAUUCCUGGUGUAGCGGUGGAAUGCGCAGAUAUCAGGAAGAACACCCGUGGCGAAGGCGGCUCUCUGGGACGGUACUGACGCUGAGACGCGAAAGCGUGGGGAGCGAACAGG
rnacentral:rRNA from 1 species